rnacentral:tRNA from 1 species
AGCUACUGUCAUAUAGUGGUUAGUAUCUUGGACUUUGAAUCCAAUCACCUAGGUUCAAAUCCUAGCAGUAGCUG